AGAAUGCACAGUUACUAAAUGCCAGAGUGGAUGAGUUUGCACAAGCUGUUCAGGAGGUUGAAAAGAAAUUCAUGAACACCACAGGAUCCCCCGUCUGUCAAGACCUCCAGGACAAAGUAUUCCGCUGCUACACAGAUAACCACAAGAAGACGCUGCUGUGUUCAGCCGACGUCCGAGCGUUCUUUGAGUGUGUGGAGAGGGCCAGAGCUAAUGCAUUGAUGAGGAAAGGAUGAGGAGACAUUUUGUAGAUUAUUUCCUAGAUACAUUCAGCAAAGUGACAUUACAGAAUCACUAUAUGAUAGUGGGACAUUUUUUGUGAUUAUUCAGCAAUGCAAAAAAUAAAAUGUGUUGCACAUU
rnacentral:misc_RNA from 1 species